rnacentral:rRNA from 1 species
AGUUUGAUUCUGGCUCAGAUUGAACGCUGGCGGGAUGCUUUUACACAUGCAAGUCGAACGGCAGCACGGACUUCGGUCUGGUGGCGAGGGCGAACGGUGAGUAAUGUAUCGGAACGUGCCUAGUAGUGGGGAUAACUACGGCGAAAGCAGUAGCUAAUACCGCAUACGUUCCUUCGGGAAAGUGGGGACUUUCGGGCCUCGCACUAUUAGGAGCGGCCGAUAUCGGAUUAGUUAAGUUGGUGUGGGGUAACGGCUCACCAAGGCGACGAUCCGUAGCUGGUUUGAGAGGACGACCAGCCACACUGGGACCGGAGACACGGCCCAGACCUCGCCGGAGGCAGCAGUGGGGAAUGGGACAAUGGGGAAACCCUGAUCCAGCCAUCCUGCGUGCGAUGAAGGCCUUCUGGUUGUAAAGCACUUUUGGCAGGGGAAAGAAACGGCACGGGAUAAUACCCCGUGCAACUGACGGUACCUGCAGAAUAAGCACCGGCUAACCACACGGGCCAGCAGCCGCGGUAACAUUGUGGGUGCAAGCGUUAAUCGGAAUUACUGGGCGUAAAGCGUGCGCAGGCGGUUCUGAAAGAAAGCAGGAAAUCCCAGAGCUUAACUUUGGAACUGCAUUUUUAACUACCGAGCUAGAGUGUGUCAGAGGAGGUGGAAUUCCGCGUGUAGCAGUGAAAUGCGUAGAUAUGCGGAGGAACACCGAUGGCGAAGGCGGCCUCCUGGGAUAAACACUGACGCUCAUGCACGAAAGCGUGGGGAGCAAACAGGAUUAGAUACCUCUGGUAGUCCACGCCCCAAACGAUGUCAACUAGCUGUUGAAUUUCCGCCUUCGGUAGCGCAGCUAACGUGCGUGAAGCUGACCGCCUGGGGGGAGUAAUGGUCGCAAGAUUAAAAACUCAAAGGAAUUGACGGGGACUCCGCACAAGCGGUGGAUGAUGUGGAUUAACGGAGGAAUCGCGAAAACCCUUACCUACCCUUGACAUGUCUGGAAUCCUGAAGAGAUUUGGGAGUGCUCGCAAGAGAACCGGAACACAGGUGCUGCAUGGCUGUCGUCAGCUCGUGUCGUGAGAUGUUGGGUUAAGUCCCGCAACGAGCGCAAACCUUGUCAUUAGUUGCUACGAAAGGCACUCUAAUGAGACUGCCGGUGACAAACCGAGGAAGGGGGAUGACGUCAAGUCCUCAUGGCCCUUAUGGUAGGGUCACACGUCACAAUGGUCGGGACAGAGGGUCGCCAACCCGCGAGGGAGCCAAUCCAGAAAACCCAGAUCGGCCCGGAUCGCAGUCUGCAACUCGACUGUGUGAAGUCGGAAUCAAGCAAUCGCGGAUCAGCAUGUCGCGGUGAAUACGUUCCCGGGUCUUGUACACACCGCCCGUCACACCAUGGGAGUGGCUUUACCAGAAGUAGUUAGCCUAACCGUAAGGAGGGCGAUUACCACGGGUAGAUUCAUGACUGGGGUGAAGUCAACAAGGUAG